rnacentral:lncRNA from 1 species
UAACAACUAGUUUGGCCCCACGUGGUUGGUGGAACUGCAUGCAACCUAAUUUUGCUUAGAACUGCUUGCUUCUGUUGAAAUAUCUGGCCAAAUCAUGCAACCUAAUUUUUUCAAAUUUGUUUCUGUGAUCGACUUCGUUUCCGGUGAAUCUGGGUAAUUAUUCUUCUUCUUCUUUUCACUUUCCUAAUAUGCUACUUUUUCGUUUUUGGGUUUAUUAUAAUUGAUGAUGAUUUGAUUCUGGUGUGCUACAAUUAAUAUAGGCUUAGUGAUAUAUACGAAAGUUCAUCGGAUUAUAGGCUUAGAUGGGGUGAUCUUUUCCAUUCUUCGCUUCAAUUGCUUGCUUUUCUAACUAUUGCUGCAUCCCAUUCUGAUUUUGAGUUGUUAUGAUCUGGAGCAACAAAAUAAACUAACAAAAGGUGACAUACACGA